UGAUACCUUGCAGCCGCCAGCCGCCCCGCACGGGGCAGGGAAUCCGGUGCGAAUCCGGAACUGACGCGCAGCGGUGAGGGGGACGGACGGGGCACGGGCCACUGGGACCAUCCUGGGAAGGCGCUCCGGCCGGACGAACCCGAGUCCGAAGACCUGCUGGCACUCUGGUCUCCCG
rnacentral:ncRNA from 2 species